UAGGGAAUCUUCGGCAAUGGGGGGAACCCUGACCGAGCAACGCCGCGUGAGUGAAGAAGGUUUUCGGAUCGUAAAGCUCUGUUGUUAAGGAAGAACGAGUGUGAGAAUGGAAAGUUCAUACUGUGACGGUACUUAACCAGAAAGGGACGGCUAACUACGUGCCAGCAGCCGCGGUAAUACGUAGGUCCCGAGCGUUGUCCGGGUUUAUUUGGCGUAAAGCGAGCGCAGGCGGUUAGAUAAGUCUGAAGUUAAAGGCAGUGGCUUAACCAUUGUAGGCUUUGGAAACUGUUUAACUUGAGUUCCGAAGGGGGGAGUGGAAUUCCAUGGUGAGCGGUGAAAUGCCUAGAUAUAUGGAGGAACCCCGGUGGCGAAAGCGGCUCUCUGGUCUGUAACUGACGCUGAGGGUCGAAAGCGUGGGGAGCGAAAAAG
rnacentral:rRNA from 1 species